UAGCUCAGUACACGUGCGAUAUCUGCCCUAUGGCGGAGGAUAACCCCGGGAACUGGGGAUAAUACUCCAUAAGUCAGGAGUACUGGAAUGUCUCCUAACUGAAAGUUGCGGCGCCAUAGGAUGAAUCUGCGGCCGAUUAGGUAGUUGUUGGGGUAACGGCCCAACAAGCCCGUAAUCGGUACGGGUUGUGGGAGCAAGAGCCCGGAGAUGGAAUCUGAGACACGAUUCCAGGCCCUACGGGGCGCAGCAGGCGCGAAAACUUUACAAUGCAGGAAACUGUGAUAAGGGAACCCCGAGUGCCCGUAAACGCGGGCUGUCCCGGUGUUUAAAACACAUCGGGAGAAAGGGCCGGGCAAGACCGGUGCCAGCCGCCGCGGUAAUACCGGCGGCUCGAGUGGUGACCACUUUUAUUGGGCUUAAAGCGUUCGUAGCUUGAUUUUUAAGUCUCUUGGGAAAUCUCACGGCUUAACUGUGAGGCGUCUAGAGAUACUGGGAAUCUAGGGACC
rnacentral:rRNA from 1 species